UUAUGGCCCACUGUAUAUACAAAAUAGAUAUAUAUUUCUGUUUGUGUUUUUCUGUGUGUGUAUCACAUUCUACCUGUUGCUGCCUAUAUGAAUAAUUAGCUACCUAGAGAUUAAAUGGAAGGUGAAACUCCAGGUGAAGUGGUUGAGGGCAUGAAGGGGAGGCAGCCCCAGACUUUUACCCCUUUGUGCUCCUGACAUUCAGGAGGCCCUGAGGACCAACCUCUCAUCCACAGAGCCGGGGUCCUUCGCUAGUGGAUCCGUGAAACUCUCAUCUCAGGGGGAAUCGGCUUAUGUGCUCCUGUGUCCCAGGCUGCACAGAGACAGCACCCAGGGUUCAGUGACCCUGUACUGGGGACACUUUCCUUGCAGAUCCUGAGCUCUCAGGGUGCAGGAAAACUCUCCCAGAUGACUCAGAAGCAACGUUUAAAUCCAUAGAACACAGGAAAACUGAAAUCAUUCGGUGGGGAGACUGGAAGGAAGCCUGCUACAGCGGAGAAAGAGUGUUUUUUACAAAUUCUGUAAAAGUCACAUCAUAAGAUAUUAAGUAAUAAAAAAAAAUGCAGAGCCCAGGUGAGAGGCUGGCUCAGGUCUCUUUCUCUCUGUUUUGGUUCUCAGGAGCUGCUGAUACCCUCAGCCCAUCACAAAACGAGUCUGACUCUGAGACUGAUGUCCUCGCACCCCCAGGAUUACACAGUGGAGAAUCUCAUCCGCAUGGGCGUGGCUGGCUUGAUCCUGGUGGUCCUCGGGAUUUUGUUAUUUGAGGCUCGGCGCAGCUGGAGAAGCUUCCCAAGAUGCAGCCGGGAGAUGAACAACAGAGAGGACAAUGUACCUUUCGGAGUCGUGAAGCCUCGGGAACAGAUCUGAUGAUCCCAGGAGGUUCUGGAAGAAAAUCUAGGGCCGAUGCUAUCUGGACUGUCUGCGGGUCGUUUCUAGAGGAAGGAAUCAAUGUUUGAGUGCAGGGACAUUUUCUGGGGUGAUCCAUGGAGAACCAUUAAAAUGUGAUACCUUUCCUCUCCA